CGCGCAGGCUGCGUGGUUAGUCAGAUGUGAAAGCCCCGGGCUUAACCUGGGAACUGCAUUUGAUACUGCCGCGCUAGAGUUCGGGAGAGGGUAGUGGAAUUCCCAGUGUAGAGGUGAAAUUCGUAGAUAUUGGGAAGAACACCAGUGGCGAAGGCGGCUACCUGGACCGAUACUGACGCUGAGGCGCGAAAGCGUGGGGAGCAAACA
rnacentral:rRNA from 1 species